rnacentral:rRNA from 1 species
GUGAGGAAUUUUCCGCAAUGGGCGAAAGCCUGACGGAGCAAUGCCGCGUGAAGGAUGAAGGCCUAUGGGUUGUAAACUUCUUUUCUCAGAAAAGAAUUAUGACGGUAUCUGAGGAAUAAGCAUCGGCUAACUCUGUGCCAACAGCCGCGGUAAGACAGAGGAUGCAAGCGUUAUCCGGAAUGAUUGGGCGUAAAGCGUCUGUAGGUUGUUUAAAAAGUAUUCUGUCAAAGAUUAGGGCUUAACCCUAGAUAGGCAGAAUAAACUUUUAAGCUAGAGUUUGGUAGAGGCAGAGGGAAUUCCCGGUGGAGCGGUGAAAUGCGUAGAUAUCGGGAGGAACACCAAAGGCGAAGGCACUCUGCUGGGCCAAUACUAACACUGAGAGACGAAAGCGAGGGGAGCAAAUGGGAUUAGAUACCCGAGUAGUCC